rnacentral:rRNA from 1 species
GUCCACGCCAUAAACGAUGGGCACUAGGUGUCGCGGGUAUUGACCCCUGCGGUGCCGCAGCUAACGCAUUAAGUGCCCCGCCUGGGGAAUACGGCCGCAAGGUUAAAACUCAAAGGAAUUGACGGGGGCCCCGCACAAGCGGUGGAGCAUGUGGUUCAAUUCGACGCAACGCGCAGAACCUUACCUGGGCUAGACAACGGUAGACAGUUCCAGAGAUGGAGCCUUCCCUUCGGGGACUGCCGGUUCAGGUGCUGCAUGGCUGUCGU